ensembl:snoRNA
AUGCAUCUAUUUGACAGGCCUGGAGCACUUACUGUCUGCUACUCAGGUCUCCAUUACAGAUGCAAGAAGAAAGCAUCUUCAUGCUUUCUGUUUGUCUGAUUGUGACAGCCCAGAUUGAAUGGGGGAAUACAGGG